UACGUAGGCAGCGAGCGUUGUUCGGAAUUACUGGGCGUAAAGAGUACGUAGGCGGUUUGAAAAGUCUGCUAUUAAAGACUGGGGCUUAACUUCAGGAGUGUAGUGGAAACUUUCAGACUAGAGGACAAUAGAGGAAGUCGGAAUUCUCAGUGUAGCGGUGAAAUGCGUAGAUAUUGGGGAAAGAACACCCAGUGGCGAAAAGCGGACUUCUGGGUUGUUACUGACGCUGAGGUACGAAACGUGGGGGAGCAAACGGGG
rnacentral:rRNA from 1 species